CCUACGGGUGGCAGCAGUGAGGAAUAUUGGUCAAUGGCCGAGAGGCUGAACCAGCCAAGUCGCGUGAGGGAAGACGGCCCUACGGGUUGUAAACCUCUUUUGUCGGGGAGCAAAGCGAACCACGUGUGGUUCCUUUAGAGUACCCCAAGAAAAAGCCUCGGCUAACUCCGUGCCAGCAGCCGCGGUAAUACGGAGGAUGCGAGCGUUAUCCGGAUUUAUUGGGUUUAAAGGGUGCGCAGGCGGGGGGGCAAGUCAGCGGUCAAAUUGCGGGGCUCAACCCCGUACUGCCGUUGAAACUGCAUCCCUUGAGUGCGCGAGAAGUAUGCGGAAUGCGUGGUGUAGCGGUGAAAUGCAUAGAUAUCACGCAGAACUCCGAUUGCGAAGGCAGCAUACCGGCGCGCAACUGACGCUCAGGCACGAAAGCGUGGGUAUCGAACAGGAUUAGAUACCCGUGUAGUC
rnacentral:rRNA from 1 species